UUUUUAUUGAAUCUCUCGACAGUUAUUUCAAAGAUCGAGAGCGAUUGGAUCUCUAGGUAAUAUUUCUUCAUCAUCCACCAAUGGUGCCUCUCUCCGCACCUUCUCUAACUCGUCUCUUCGCAGCUUCUCUACCUCCUCACGUAAUUUCAAGAUGUCGCCGUUUCUUGAAUCCGUCAUGCAUGUACAUCCAAUGAAUCAUUACUCUUCUUGCUCGUGCGAUUGGGUCUCGCAGCAAAAUCUGUAAUCUCUUUUCGUUUUAAUGUUUCCCUCGACAGUUACGUCAAAGAUCGAUUGGAUCUCUCCCCUGUAUUUCUUCAUCAUCGUCCAGUUGUGUCUUUCUCCGCACUAUCUCUCCUCUUCGCAACUUCUCAACAUUCUCUACAUAUAGACAUACCUACAUAUAGACCAGAUGAGGAAAAGAAGAAGCUUGAUUGCUAUAAAAAAAGAUAGUCAGCUUUUAUUUUUAAACACACUAAAAUAAAUGUUGUGAUAUUCAUUGCUAGUCUGAAUAG
rnacentral:lncRNA from 1 species